GAAACCGCAAAAGGCUCAUUAAAUCAGUUAUGGUUCCUUAGAUCGUACCCACAAUUACUUGGAUAACUGUGGUAAUUCUAGAGCUAAUACAUGCAAACAGAGCUCCGACCGGAGACGGAAGGAGUGCUUUUAUUAGAUCAAAACCAAUCGGUGGCGGGUUCGCUCGUUAUCGUACAACUUGGUGACUCUGAAUAACUUUAGGCUGAUCGCACGGUCAUCGCACCGGCGACGCAUCUUUCAAAUGUCUGCCUUAUCAACUGUCGAUGGUAGGUUCUGCGCCUACCAUGGUUGUAACGGGUAACGGGGAAUCAGGGUUCGAUUCCGGAGAGGGAGCCUGAGAAACGGCUACCACAUCCAAGGAAGGCAGCAGGCGCGCAAAUUACCCACUCCCGGCACGGGGAGGUAGUGACGAAAAAUAACGAUACGGGACUCAUCCGAGGCCCCGUAAUCGGAAUGAGUACACUCUAAACCCUUUAACGAGGAUCAAUUGGAGGGCAAGUCUGGUGCCAGCAGCCGCG
rnacentral:rRNA from 1 species